GCGAGUGAAGCGGGAUGAGCUCAAAUUUGUAAUCUGGCUGUCUUCGAUAGUCCGAGUUGUAAUCUAUAGAAGCGUUUUCCGUGCUGAACUGUGUAUAAGUCCCUUGGAACAGGGUAUCAAAGAGGGUGACAAUCCCGUACUUUACACAAUCAUCAGUGCUCUGUGAUACGUUCUCUACGAGUCGAGUUGUUUGGGAAUGCAGCUCAAAAUGGGUGGUAAAUUCCAUCUAAAGCUAAAUAUUGGCGAGAGACCGAUAGCGAACAAGUACCGUGAGGGAAAGAUGAAAAGAACUUUGAAAAGAGAGUUAAACAGUGCGUGAAAUUGUUGAAAGGGAAACGCUUGACACCAGUCAUGCGGGUGGAAAAUCAGUCUUUUGCAGUGGGGAGUUGUGGGCGUUCAGACCGCAAGGCUGGCCUAUGUGUUCUCUCUGCUGCAAGUGAUGCACUUUUUCGUCUGCAGGCCAAUAUCAGUCUCUUCUGCUGGACAAAACUCUAAGAGAAGGUAGCAGCUUAGGCUGUGUUAUAGCUCUGGAGCGAUACAGUGGAGGAGACUGAGGUUUUCGCAGCGUGUGCUCUCGGGCAAGGCGGAUUGGGUGCUAUGAAAUCGUUCGGCGUACAAUGCAUGCAUUUUGCGCCGUGUCCUUUUCAUACUCGCUCAACUC
rnacentral:rRNA from 1 species